AGUGUUCUCAUCUCCUGGUUUCCAGCGCUUGGCAUCUGCUCCCCUCUGCAUUCCCGAGAGACCCGGCUGACCCCCAUCAAGUGGGAAAGCUGAGCAGGGCCAGGAGCUGGCGCCUGAGCUGAGCCAGCCGUCCUGUUCGCUCCCACCGCCCUGGGGCCUACCCUGGGGUGGGGGGCCCUGCAGCUCCUGUCUGCAAAGCCAGCAGAGUUAACUCGGUCACCCCUGCCCUGGCCUCUUUGAGCUCUCCAAAUGUCACUUAGCAACAAUUAGCUAAUCAACCACCCGGAACUCGUGCUGCAGCCGCUGCCUGCGAACUCUCAAAGGCUCCCGAGAGCCUCUCACCCCCCAGACCUGCCAUGGCAGCCUCACUCAAAGGGCUCCGGUUUCAGCCGCCCCUCUGCCGGUUCUGCCUCCAGCAUGUGUUUCCAUUUACCGUGGGAGGAAGGGAAAGGACCCUGGCUGGGGGGAACUUCGCUCUUCAUGCUUGGUCACCCUCACCCGUGGGGCACCCCAGCCUGGGCCCCCGGAGCCCACUCUGGAAAUGCGUUGUUCCUCGAGGAAGGGUACCCACUCUCACCUUCCAUAGGGAGACGGUGUUUUCUGGGUUAGGUACCCCAGAAGGAAGGGGUUGCUGUUUCACAGUUAUUCAUGUUUUGUUCUGAAGUACAACAUUCCCGCGGCAGUAGGUCCCAACACAUCCUCCGGGAAACAUGGAGCAAAACCUAAAGAUACUUCUGAUGGUCACGGCAGGCCUGGCUUCUGCUCACUGUGUGUCCAAGACUCUAAGCACACCCCUCUGUGUCCAGAAGAGCCUCACUGAACACCCCAACCAGCCAGCCCCCGGGGUUGGGCACUAAGUGACCAGACCCGCGGAUCGUGAGUGUGUACCAAUGAAGUCUCACAAAUAGACACACUGUGUUGGUCUCUUUAGGCCACUGUUUGGAGAACUACAAACGGAAUGGCUUCAAACAACACAAAUCCUUUAUUUUGCCCCCAACACCAUCCCCUUUUGGGAGGUCACAGUUCCCAGGAGCCGAGUGUCUGCGAGAGAGAGCUCCCCCUGGAGGUCGCAGGGGGAAAAUCUUUGUUUUUGCCUUUUCCAGCCUCCAUGUUGCUUCCCGCCUUGGCUCAGGGUCCGACCCUUCAUCUUCAAAGCCAGAACCAGGCUGCGCCUGUGUAAAUCACCACCUGGCUCUUGCUGACAAUCUCAUAAGAAACCUGCGACUUCGUCACACCUGCCAAGUCCUUGUCAUGGAAGUCACAACUUCAAGGUCAACAGUACAAGGACCCUUGUCCACUGGCAGGAACAAAACACUGGAGACCAUCACAAAGGAACACCCUGUGAUCUCAUGAAGAGCUUUAGUCACCUUUGAAGAUAACAGCUUCCAACUCACCAAACCCCUGUCCAAGAGUGUUGUAAAGAUGCUGCAAGGGACUCUCAGAGGGACCCGCAUCUGCUCCUAGUUUCUAGGCACAGAAGAGUUCACCUAAUCCAGGCACCAGCUUUCCAUCAAGGCCCUGCUUUCUAUAUGUCAACACAGAUGUGACCCGCAGUGGAGUCCAGGAACUCAGUCCAACUCUGCAACUAGAACUUCCAACAUGUCAAUAAGCCCUGCUCCAAUUCCAGGAAAAAUAACCAGCGUGGGUCUCAACAUCACAUGGACGAUUUACAUCCCUGAACUGGAAUUUCGAUUCGAUCUUGGAGGCCGCUUUCAGAGGCCAAGACACACUAUAGGAGGAGGGAGGGGCCGCUGAGGCCAAAAAGAAACUGGGAUUAAAGUAACGCAAAGCAGAUGCAGGAGCUCAGUGGCUGCCAACCCAAGCCAGGUGUGACUUUUGGGGGCCAGGUGACUUGGGGAGAGUAUGCUCUGUCCUCGGGGUACCCUGAGAACUUGGGGGUAGUGGAUAGAUGGUGAAUUUGAGGUUUGCGGUUGCUCGUCUCCAGCUUCUCCUGCCUCCGAAAUUGAGUGUAGAAUAUGGACAUGUCAGCAGGACGUGUCCCUUCUGCACCUGAAUGAGGGAUUAUUUUCAAGAUCCUGGGUAGCCAAGUGGGUGUCCUUUGAAAACAGACUUGUGGAAUUUCCCAGACUUCUU